ensembl:lncRNA
CUGGCAUAGAAGGCCGGGUGGGGGAGAGAAGAGAAAGGAAGUGUCACAUCCUCUGCUGUGAAUAGCUAACACGCUAGCAGCCACGCUGUGAUGAAUGCUUAAAUCCUUCCUCUGCCUGCUUUGGAGCAGGGGCCUGGGACCGGGCCCUUCUGCUGUGUGCCUUAAUCAGUGGGUCUCACUGCCUGGGUCUCUCUCAGGCUUCCCUGCUGAAACCACUCUGCUUUGUACAAACUAAUUAAAUAUUCAGAGGAUUGGAGUGAAAAGGGAUCUGUGGCUUGGGGUGGGGGUGCACAUCCAGAAGGCCUGCUUCUAGUCUCUGCUGCCAUGAAUAUUUAAUCACUUCGUACAGAGGGGAAGAGUUUCAAAAGGAAUCCCUGAAAUUUCUGGCUCGGCAGCUUGGGUAUUUAACAGAGAAGACAGAGCCUUGGGUUGGAGCCCCUUUUCAGUAUUAGGCAGCAUAUGGGGAUUCAGAAGUAAAACCUCGAGAAAUGCUUUGACCACUUUUCUCUUCUUGACAUAAUUUCAGAGCCCACGCGUGAGAUGUGGCAUUCACAGGUAGGAACCACUCGCAGCUACUCAGCUGAGUGGAAGAAAGCCUGUCUGCCCACCCAGUCACUGCCAGGCUUUCCUUGCUGGUACCGCAGCACUUUCCUUGCUGACAGCACAUGAGGAGAGCAAGGUACUCAACCAUCCGUGCAUUGCAUGAUAGACAGAGGGGAGAAAAAUUUCAGCACUGCAAUGUCACUACAACUAAGUGCCUCUGAGACUUUUUGCUUUGGGGCUGUCAUUUAGUAAUGUAGUUUUGCACCUACCUGAUAAGAGUUUAGCUAUUGCCUUCGGCAGCAGAAAGGUUUUUUGCUUCCUUCUGGUAAUGCACUGCCUGCAGAGAGCACGGGGUCUGAGUGGGUCCCCUUGGAUCAGCAUGGGAACACAGUGCUGGUUGGCUUGUGUUGCAGUAUACUUUGUACUGUAUUUCCCCUUAAGAGCACCCAGGAUUCUUUGUCACUGCAAUAUAUGUAUGAAUAAAGAAAUCUACUUGUAGGUGUUUGGCCUGCCAUUCUGGGAUCACAGCAACCUUCUCUCUAUAUAUUUUAUGACUGCAUAGGAAGGGUAACCACGUAUCAUAGAGUCAUAGAAUGGUUUGUCUUGGAAGGGACCUUUAAGAUCACUAGUUCCAACCCCCUGCUAUAGGCAGGGACACCUCCCUCUAGACCAGGUUGCUCAAAGUGCCAUCCAGCCUGGCCUUGAAUGCUUCCAGGGAGGGGGCAUCCACAACCUCGCUGGGCAACCGG